CAGUAGCCGCGGGAAUACGUAGGGUGCGAGCGUUAAUCGGAAUUACUGGGCGUAAAGCGUGCGCAGGCGGUUAUGUAAGACAGUUGUGAAAUCCCCGGGCUCAACCUGGGAACUGCAUCUGUGACUGCAUAGCUAGAGUACGGUAGAGGGGGAUGGAAUUCCGCGUGUAGCAGUGAAAUGCGUAGAUAUGCGGAGGAACACCGAUGGCGAAGGCAAUCCCCUGGACCUGUACUGACGCUCAUGCACGAAAGCGUGGGGAGCAAACAGGAUUAGAUACCCGCGUAGUCCCUGUCUCUUAUAC
rnacentral:rRNA from 1 species